UACAGAGGUCUCAAGCGUUGUUCGGAUUCAUUGGGCGUAAAGGGUGCGUAGGCGGCGCGGUAAGUCGGGUGUGAAAUUUCGGAGCUUAACUCCGAAACUGCAUUCGAUACUGCCGUGCUUGAGGACUGGAGAGGAGACUGGAAUUUACGGUGUAGCGGUGAAAUGCGUAGAUAUCGUAAGGAAGACCAGUGGCGAAGGCGGGGUCUCUGGGACAGUUCCUGACGCUGAGACACGGAAGGCCAGGGGAGCAAACGGG
rnacentral:rRNA from 1 species